CAGCCGCCGCGGUAAAACGAAGGGUGCAAGCGUUACUCGGAAUUACUGGGCGUAAAGCGUGCGUAGGUGGUGGUUUAAGUCCGUUGUGAAAGCCCUGGGCUCAACCUGGGAAUUGCAGUGGAUACUGGGUCACUAGAGUGUGGUAGAGGAUAGUGGAAUUUCCGGUGUAGCAGUGAAAUGCGUAGAGAUCGGAAGGAACAUCUGUGGCGAAGGCGACUAUCUGGGCCAACACUGACACUGAGGCACGAAAGCGUGGGGAGCAAACAGGAUUAGAUACCCGAGUAGUCCCUGUCUCUUAUAC
rnacentral:rRNA from 1 species